AACGAACGCUGGCGGCGUGCCUAACACAUGCAAGUCGAACGGGGAUGGGGAGCUUGCUUCCUAUUCUAGUGGCGCACGGGUGAGUAACGCGUAGAUAAUCUGCCUGAUGAUCUGGGAUAACACUUCGAAAGAGGUGCUAAUACCGGAUAAGCCCACGGAGUCUUUGGACUUUGAGGGAAAAGGGGGGGGCCUUAUGGCCUUCUGUCAUCAUGUGAGUCUGCGUACCAUUAGCUAGUUGGUAGGGUAAAGGCCUACCAAGGCGACGAUGGGUAGCUGGUCUGAGAGGAUGAACAGCCACACUGGAACUGAGACACGGUCCAGACUCCUACGGGAGGCAGCAGUGGGGAAUUUUGCGCAAUGGGCGAAAGCCUGACGCAGCAACGCCGCGUGAGUGAUGAAGGCUUUCGGGUCGUAAAGCUCUGUCGAGGGGAAAGAAGUGUAUUGUGGUUAAUACCCAUAAUACUUGACGGUACCCCUAAAGGAAGCACCGGCUAACUCCGUGCCAGCAGCCGCAGUAAUAC
rnacentral:rRNA from 1 species